rfam:Tursiops truncatus cont1.179175, whole genome shotgun sequence.
UUGCAGGGCUAAGUAGGGGGCUUGUUUUAUAUGGUCUUCAUUUUGUUGUUAUUCACCU